AAAAACUCUUGGCUAAUUUGCAAGUGAUGUACGGACUCCUGUUGAGCUGUAGUCGGCCAUGGAAAAAAGAGAGGAGAAGGAGUUGGACGAGCUCACCCUCCACUUGCAGAGGGACGGUGUGUCCCCUGAGGCUUCAGUAGAGGAGCGUGAGCUGCACCUGUGGCGUUUGCUCCAGCACAGUGAGGGCAGCCUGAGCGCAGCCACUGAAGACCUGCAGACUUUACGCACACAGCAGGCCAGCGAGAUGAGAGAGGUGGAAAAUUACGUGGAGCAUAUUAGAAACAUGCUGGAGGAGCGGGAAUCUCUUACAGCAGAGUACGAACGGGAC
rnacentral:lncRNA from 1 species